GCCUAGUUAGCUUGGUUGAUGGUAACGCGUCUGCCUUGUAAGCACUAGGCCGCGGGUUCGAUUCCCGCCCGGGGCG
rfam:Asian citrus Psyllid, Diaphorina citri - Florida Strain, whole genome shotgun sequence.